rnacentral:rRNA from 1 species
AUGUCGUCGGUGUAUGUGCUUGAGCCGCCGACGAAAGGGAAGGUGGUGGUGCAGACAACGGCCGGUCCGAUCGACAUCGAGCUGUGGGCCAAGGAGGCCCCCAAGGCCACGCGCAACUUCGUUCAGCUAUGCCUGGAGGGCUACUACGACGGCACCCUCUUCCACCGGGUCAUCAAGUCCUUCCUCAUCCAGGGCGGCGACCCCACCGGCUCCGGCACCGGGGGUGAGAGCAUCUAUGGGGCACCGUUCGCUGACGAGUUCCAUUCACGUUUGAGGUUUAAUCACAGGGGUUUAUUGGCAUGUGCCAAUGCUGGCACACCUCAUUCGAACGGAAGCCAGUUCUUUAUUACCCUUGACCGCUGCGAUUGGCUUGAUAAGAAGAAUACAAUUUUUGGGAAGGUCACUGGGGAUUCUAUCUUCAAUCUUCUGGCCUUGGCUGAUAUCGAGACUGAUAAGGAUGAUCGGCCUGUAUACCCACAGAAAAUUCUUUCAGUUGAGGUACUCUGGAACCCAUUUGAUGAUAUAGUUCCACGACAACUUAAGAAGAUUCAGCCUGCUCCCAAGGCUGAUGCUGAGAGGAAACCAGAGAAGAAAGCUGUUAAGCAACUUAAUGUGCUCUCGUUUGGAGAUGAAGUAGAAGAAGAGGAGAAUGAGGCAGCUUCUUUUGUGAAGGACAAAAUAAAGAGUAUCCACGAUGUGCUCGAUGACCCCCGUUUUCUUAAAGUGGAACCACAGGUUGAACAACUGUCCAAGGAGGAAGAGGAGAAGAAAAAUGAAACUGUCCUAUCUAUCAGGGAGGCUUUAAUCUCGAAGAAAGCUGAAUCCAGAGAGCCAGAGCAUGAUCCAGAAAAUGAUGAUUCUCCUGAAGAUGAGAAUGAGGAGGAUUUUGACAACAGGAUGCGUUCACGGAUUCUAAAAAAGCGUAGAGAGCUUGGGGAUAUUCGGCAGAGUCAAUCUUCCAAGAAAGAUAAAACUCAUCAGAAGGAUAAAGAAUUACCAGCUCACAGGAGUGAUGACGACGACGACGACGAUGAUCAUCAAUCAUCAAAAUCACGGAAACUGUCUUUGAAGAAAAAAGGUAUUGGCUCUGAAGCCAAUACUGAAAGGAUGUCCAGAGGAGAUGUUAAUUUGCAACUGCUAAAUCCAGCUGAACAAGAGAAACAUUUGAAAAAACAGAGAAAACGCAGCCUCCAAGGCCGUGAAGAGGAGACUUUAGCAAAGUUACAGAAGUUCAAGGCUUCCUUGAUGAGUAAUAAGCCUGCUAAUAUGGAAACAAAGGCAGAAGACAGUGAGGACUACAAAGAGUGGCAUGCCAACCGUCUCACUUUCGCACCUGAAUCUUCGAAGGAUGGUAUGACUAGGAAGGAUGAUCCAAAUGACUAUGUAGUGGUUGACCCUCUUCUGGAGAAAGGAAAACAGAAGUUUAACAAGAUGCAAGCGAAGUUAAAGAAGAGAGAUCGUGAAUGGGCUGGCAGAUCUCUCACAUGA